rnacentral:rRNA from 1 species
UACGUAGGGGGCAAGCGUUAUCCGGAUUUACUGGGUGUAAAGGGAGCGUAGGUGGCAUGGUAAGCCAGAAGUGAAAACCCGAGGCUCAACCCCGCGGAUUGCUUUUGGAACUAUCAGGCUGGAGUGCUGGAGGGGUAAGCGGAAUUCCUAGUGUAGCGGUGAAAUGCGUAGAUAUUAGGAGGAACACCGGUGGCGAAGGCGGCUUACUGGACAGAAACUGACACUGAGGCUCGAAAGCGUGGGGAGCAAACAGG